rnacentral:lncRNA from 1 species
AGACUAUAAAACUUGCUGCGUUCAAAUCUUCACGUCUCACAGCAUCUCUACCUCUCAUUGUGACAGUACAGGCCAGGCCCGAUAACGACCCUUGCGGAUAACCGGACAAGAUCUUCCUACAAACAUCAGUGGCAAUAUGUCUGUGCCCACCGGCCGCAACUCGUCAGGAGUUGUCUCCAGCAGACAACUUACAUUAAUGGCUGGCAGUCAGAACAACCUUUUCCAGUACACGCUCGAACUGCGGGACCCCGAAGGUGCCCUUCUCGGCACCUUCGACAUGCGCCCAUCCGGUGGUCCAUCCACUCUGCACCCCUACCUCAGGAAUGGGAUGUCGCUCUCCUUGUUUGUGAACUUUGAAGCUCUACAGGAACUAUCCCGCCAUCAUAACCCUAACGCUGGCGCCAGCCUCGGUCAACGCUCAGUCCAAGUUUCCAUAGAGACUUGGGUUGCCGGCAGAAUAGUCGGCAUUCUAAUAUGGUUUUGCAUAGGAUUUCUGUGUGCGUUGUACUGGAGGAGACAAUGAGGAGACGCUGUAUUUUAGGAUGAACGGCUCUUCAUGACCGUUUAGCCGGUUGGGGAUGAAUGUUCACUCAGUCGUUGUUUUUUAUGUAGUUUUUAUGCCAGAUUAUUUCAUGCCUAUCGGCGAAUAACUAAGAAAGACGUAGAGUAAUUUAAUAGUUGACAUGUUCGAGCCUAAUUUGUCGGAAGUUCAGAUUUUAAUUCCCUGUAACUUUAGCUUUUCAGCAUUUUUAACUUCGCGAGGUAUUUUAACUUAACCUUCAUGCUCGAUGUUUUUAAAGUUAGAAUGAUCACAUUGUUUGAACAAUCGUAUGACCCGUCAAUAAACAUGUGUAAUGUU